rnacentral:rRNA from 1 species
GACGAACGCUGGCGGCGUGCUUAACACGUGCAAGUCGAACGGAAAGGCCCUGCUUUUGUGGGGUGCUCGAGUGGCGAACGGGUGAGUAACACGUGAGUAACCUGCCCUUGACUUUGGGAUAACUUCAGGAAACUGGGGCUAAUACCGGAUAGGAGCUCCUGCUGCAUGGUGGGGGUUGGAAAGUUUCGGCGGUUGGGGAUGGACUCGCGGCUUAUCAGCUUGUUGGUGGGGUAGUGGCUUACAAAGGCUUUGACGGGUAGCCGGCCUGAGAGGGUGACCGGCCACAUUGGGACUGAGAUACGGCCCAGACUCCUACGGGAGGCAGCAGUGGGGAAUAUUGCACAAUGGGCGGAAGCCUGAUGCAGCAACGCCGCGUGCGGGAUGACGGCCUUCGGGUUGUAAACCGCUUUCGCCUGUGACGAAGCGUGAGUGACGGUAAUGGGUAAAGAAGCACCGGCUAACUACGUG